UGUGUGAUGCCAGUCAAGGCCUGAACACAUUCACAUGAAGAAACAAGCACAUUUCUUCCAGGAACACCUAUUGAUCACCUAUUGAGAAGUAAAAUAACCAUAAUUUUUUCACUUUCACGAUAGGCUUGCUUCUCUUAGUCGGUCAAUCAGAUCGGCUUCAAAUUUGUAACACACAAUCCAAACAUUGUCAUGAUGUCAGCCCACAACAUCAAACAACGAAGGGGCUUUGGAGAGACUAAACAUGCUCCCUGUGAAAAUACCCUUGGCAAACAUAUUAAGAAUCAAAGAUGUAGUUAUUACCAGGUGUUCAUUAUAUUGAUGAAUAUAUAACCCUUUAAAACUGUCCACAAAUAGCUUUAACUCAAUAGGACAUAUUUGUUAUUUAUUGGGAACCCUCUCUCUGACUUAAUAACUUGAUACACGAAGCUUAUAGGGUUUUAUUGAAAGUAUGGAGGCUUUUGAGUAAUUAAAUUGAAUCAAAACACCUGUAAUUUACUCCGGUACUUUAAAUUAUGUAACCAUAAGAUUUUAUUGGAGAUUAAUAGGACCCCCUCUCCCCUGAGGAAGGCCAUUAGACUUGGCAUUUACGUCACAAACCGGAAACGGAAGGAAUUACUCCCGCUAGAUAAUCCCCGCGAAAAAAGCCCCCACCUUUUUACUCGCUCUCGUCUCCGGUCUUUAAACCGGCACUGCAGACAGAGAGGACGCGGACUCGCUCCAAGUCCUUUUAAACGGGUAAGAAACCUUAACACUCAAACUGUAAUGAUUGAUUAUAUAUAUGCACGGAAUUAUUGAUAGCCAAAAUAACUCUUUUAAUGACUUUCUCCGCCGCGCGCUCGGCACUCCGCUGCUUUGCGGACCCGCGCGCUGCACUGAAGGUGACUCGGGACUCUUCCGGGUCCUUCCAACGGGAUUAUUGUGCACCCCGGAACUGGGUACGUGACAGGAGCCAUGUUGCGUCAAAAGGUCCGGAUCGACUACGAACAGGACGUGGCACUAAGGAGGAUUGUCCAGCCGUGG